GGUGGUUCUCAGGUGAUGCACCCCAAAAUCGGGCUCCCUCCUCUCUGGUUUCAGGUGCAUCACCCAAGAACCACA
rfam:Myotis davidii contig136430, whole genome shotgun sequence.